UGGAAGUUUCACAGAGUUUUCACUUUUUGAGUGUCUCUUUCAUAAUUCGAUUAUGGAAAGGUUGUUAUAGUGAUGACAGGUUUUUGUUUUUACUGAAGGUGUGAUAGUUCUCUCUCGGGUUUUUAGCCCUCACUUUGACAUCCUGACACUACUCAAGAACUGUUUCCCCAGCAGCUUGAGGGGUGGAGAAAUGCAGAAGUAUCCCACAGAGCGUACUCUACUGUCCAGUAUACAUAGCAAUACCAUUUUGUUAUGUGGUAACAAACAUUUAGUAUGGUGUGACAAUAUGCUUAAAAAACAGGUUGCGGCAGCAACUAUAAAGAAAACUUAAUUGAGGAAAGACAAGGAAAAGUUCCCCUGAGUUUUUAUGAUUUUGUUUUGAUUAAAGAAAGCCACCAUGGAACCAUGAAACCAGGUAUGCCAAAAUAGUCAGCUUUCUUUCUACCCACUCUAGAAUAGUCUGGAAAGUCUCUGUUACUGAGGAAGCUUGCAAACCACAUCUCUGUUACAGAUGAAGAUGCAGCUCUACUGGACUUGUUUCUCCAUCAAUUGUUUCUCCAUCUCCAGAUAUUUUGUUAUUUUCAAAAGUCCUGAAAGAAAUGGUAGAAUGGCCAAAGUUCAUACCAGAAAGUGUUUAUCCUCUAGCGGAUGUGUACAUCUCUACCUUGGUUUGCCUCCCAUGUAGACUAUUUAUAGUCAUCCAUUGGAUUUUCAUUAGCGGUAUAAUUGAUCUUUAUUCUGCUUUUGAAGUUUGUACACACCUGUCCUACAGGUUAGAGGUGAACUCAGUUUUAUCCCUCUGGCUACAGAUAGAUCUUAGUGCCUUAUUAGAUGUCUAUCCAAGUAGGUGGAGCUCUGUGUCAGACUGACAGCAGGUGAUUAGUAAGGCAGUCGUGGCAGUGUAUGCUCAGGCUCAUGCCUGACAUGUUGUAAGUUCGCUACGUUGCUCCAGCAAUAAGGUUCUCGGGAGGUCUGUUAAACACCAUUAAAAAAAAAAACUUGAUUUAAUUAGGAGACUGAAUUAUAAAGAUUAAUUUGAUAACUAAUUAUCACAAGUACAAAAUAGUAGAUUAGUAAUAUAGUAAGAUAAGUGAACAUUACCAAUGAGUUAUGAUUUAAAUGACCAAUUUUGCAUAUAGUAUUGCUGUAAUUCUUGUGUUUUAUCUUCAGAUAAUAGAUGUGGAAACUAAAGAAAGAUUUACUUAUUUUAUACUUUAAAUAGCCAAAAAAAAAAACCUUCUGUCAUUUAGCUUUUUAUGAUCAAGAAUCUUGUUUUGUGUGAAAUCAUUAUUCACGUCUUAUUACAGACUUUAGUGGUCCUUGUAUUGUUUUGGUUGAAAAAGACAUCUAAGCACAACAGUUGCAAAUUGUCAGUGACUGUAUGUAGUGAUACAGUCCUUCAAAAUCAAUUUGAUCUCAGUUCAUGAAGAAAUUAAAUUGAAAUAAAAAGGAUUUAAAAUAAUUGCAGAAUUCCCUAUACGGAGUUGGACUAGAUGAUCUCAAGAGGUGAUUUCCAGCCUAAACAGGUGACUCUGUACAGUUACAAAAAUAAAAUAGCAAGUUUUAUUAGCAUUCUAUUAUUUAUAUCUAUAAUUUCAGAUUUUUUGCAAUGUUAUUUGUUAGUGGAAUUUUAUGUAUAAAUGUAGACAGCAUGAAGUCCAACUUGUAUAACAGCAUGACUGUAUAUGCAAAUAGAUAUAACAUGCUUCAAGCUAGAAUGUGACCUUUAUUUUUCUCAUUAAUUGUCACAUUGCCUAGAAUGGCUUUUCAUACAACCUACCUGUCACUUUACCAAAAAGAGGGGAGGGAAGGGGGUCCAUACGUCAGUGUGAAUGACAAACAAGUAGAGAUGCAUUUGGAGAAAUCUGUCUAGGUUCUUCUGAAACAUGAAGUAUUUUGCUCUCCCCUGGAAAAAUUACAUGACAGAACAAAAUUAAGAAGAAAGCACACACAUCCUUCGCAACGUUGCCUUAGCCAAGCUAGUCUGUUGGGUCAUGCGCGAAAAACAGCCAAGCCCUAGGACUGAGAUUGUAUUGACAAGAACAAGAUGAAUGGCCCCCUGGAGACUACAGGUCUCAACCAUUAGCUGGGGAUUUUCAUCACCAGUGAACAACAGCUUGCAUGCCACACUUGCAAAAAUCUGCAUGGCUGUCCAGAAUGUGACUUGUCACUCACGUCGCUAUUGACACUGCUGAAACACAACACCUCAUGGGGCUGAAACACCUCACUGUGCUCACACCCACUGUUUGGUCUCCGUAAACAUUCAGCAAGCAUUAAUGAAUGUCAAAGUGUGCCAUUUCUUCUACACAGAGGAAUUCAGUUCUAUGCCUUUGCUUCAUAGGCACUUCCACUACAAACACCGUUUUUAUCAGAUUGCCCUUCUGCUGCCAUCUGUCACACAGUAACAAAACCUAAUAACGUUGCAAGGAAGGUUCAACCUCUACUGCCAUACCACCAGCACAAUCAACUGGGAGGCAUUACUUUCGGAGCAGCUAUUAUAACAUGCCUGGAUUUCAUAAAACAUUGCCCUAAUAAAUAUAUUCAUGUUUUUGCUGUAUUUCAUAUCAGAGCUGUUCAGUUUUGCAUGUAAUUAAAUCCAAUAAAGCUAUCCGUAUCUUA
ensembl:lncRNA